UAAACUUCAUGUCUCAAUCCCAAUGUCAACUAAUGUAAAAAAUUACCAUUAAUUACUUUUUUUGCCUGUUUCUAUAGAUUGUCUGGCAAAAAAAUGAGAAGGAAAAUUGCAGUUAAUUUUGAUGCUACUGAAACAAUCGAUGCUUUGACAUUUUCACCUUGCAACAUUAUGCAGUUAAUUUUGGUUCUGAGUAUUGGAGGUCAUCGGAAAUUAAUUUGGUUUGCUCAACAUACUGAUGAACUUUAGAAUGCUACUUUUUAAGGUUAACUGAGGAACAUUGGAAGAACUCCAGAUUCUGUUAAAUUAUGGGGAAUUGGUUGUCUCAGUCGUCAAUUGCUUUAGAAAGUAGCUGUAUCUAUGGUCUUAAAAAAAAGCAUGAAAACGUGUGUUCAGUGUGCUGUUGCUAAAGAAAGGAUUUAUGACAUUGAACUGAUUGUCGUAACAAAUUAGAAGAUAUUGAUGCUACUGAAACAACCGAUGCUUUUGAUGUUUUCAUCUUCCAACAUUAUGCAGUUAGUUUUGGGCCUGAGAAUGGGAGGUAAAUGGAAAUUAAUUUGGAAGCCACUGAAACAACAAAUUGUCUGCAGUGAUAUCCCUCCUAUAUUUGUUUUGCUCUGCUUAUGAUACUGAUAGACUUUGGAACGCUACUUUCUACAGGUAGUCAAGAUCUUUCAACAAAGAGGGAGUUAAGGUUCAGUUUGGUCGUACUGAAACAACCAUUGUCUACAUGGGUGUGGUCUUUGGUGAAUUACAUUCUUGAUUUGCUGUUUUCGUCUUCGCUUUGCAUCAUUAUGCACUUAGUUUUGAACUGAUGAGUGAGAGCAACUGGAUAUUUAUUUGAUUUCCACUGAAAUAACGAAUUUUCUGCAUUGGCAUUAUUCCUGGAU
rnacentral:lncRNA from 1 species